rnacentral:lncRNA from 1 species
GGGUUAUUUUAGCCUCCCAAAUAUCAGUAGUCAGAGAUACUCUUUGCUUGUUUGCUUCAAACCACUUUUUCAUAGCAGCCUUCCUCUGCAAGUACAUCUUUACAAUCUCCCUUGUUGAGGUCCUCCGUGACACAGGUUUGUCUAAUUUCAUCUGCACAGAUAAAAAAAAUUUUAUAUAAAAGAAGUCAAAACUAGUCCAAUAAACUAAAGAAUUAAACAAGUAGAUACCUUGUUACAGAAGUGUUUCCAAGCCACACUUUCUAUCCAACAUAAUGGUAACUCCCCUAUCACCAUCAUCUCAUUCGUUUCUUCUUUGAAAGUUUCUUCACUGACUUUUGCAGACAUCACAUUCCCUUCUUCAGCUAUGACUUGCUGAGUUGAACUUUGGCCAUCUGAAUAUGAGUAGAACUGUUUGCAUAUGCUGAUAUGCUUCAGCAAGUUUGAAGUUCCCGAUUUUUUUUUACAACAAAACUUCUUCUUUCAGUAAUGACAAAUACAUUUGUCACGGUUCUCCUUCGUCCUUGUGUAACGGUUCCAGAUUUUGGACCUUGGAGGAAGAAUCCUGGGAGCUUUAUUCUGACCUUUGUGAUCACUAACAAGUUUGAACCCUAUGAUAAGCUUCUUCAGUCGCCAACACUCAUCAAUGUAAUGCGCAGUCACCACCAUGUAACUUGCCCCUGUGAACAAUAAUAAGCAUGCCAACACGUUAGCUAUAAGCACCCAAAUAUCAGUACAUACUCAUUUAAUUUAAGAUUCAAAAUGCUUACGGGUUAUUUUAGCCUCCCAAAUAUCAGUAGUCAGAGAUACUCUUUGCUUGUUUGCUUCAAACCACUUUUUCAUAGCAGCCUUCCUCUGCAAGUACAUCUUUACAAUCUCCCUUGUUGAGGUCCUCCUUGACACAGGUUUGUCUAAUUUCAUCUGCACAGAUAAAAAAAAAAUUAUAUAAAAGAAAUCAAAACUAGCCCAAUAAACUAAAGAAUUAAACAAGUAGAUAGCUUGUUACAGAAGUGUUUCCAAGCCACACUUUCUACCCAACAUAAUGGUAACUCCCCUAUCACCAUCAUCUCAUUGGUUGCUUCUUUGAAAGUUUCUUCGCUGAUUUUUGUAGACAUCACAUUCCCUUCUUCAUCUAUGACUUGCUGAGUUGAACUUUGGCCAUCUGAAUACGAGUAGAACUGUUUGCAUAUGCUGAUAUGCUUCAGCAAGUUUUUAGUUCCCGAUUUUGUUUUACAACAAAAAUUCUUCUUGCAGUAAUGACAGAUACAUUUGUCACGCUUAUCUUUCGUCCUUGUGUAAUGGUUCCAGAUUUUGGACCUUGGAGGAAGAAUCCUGGGCGCUUUAUUGGCUUCAUUGGCUGUAGGAGAUUCUUUACGUUUGCCUCUAUUAUCUGGAGUAGUCAAUUCUUGUUCUUCUUCGUCCUCUACAUCUUUGUUGUUGUCAAACGAAA